UUCCUGUAACGAUGGCAGUCAGUAACACACAGAACUUUGUUCCAGUUAUAGCUCCAGAAGUCAGUCACCAGCAGCAGAUGUCACAUGGUUAUAAAAUGGGAAACUUGAAGAAUAAGCUACUAGUGGUUUGGAUACACACUUGGCAAAUUUCACCUUUCACUUAAAAUCUCCAGAAGUCAGUCGGAGCAGCAGCAGCAGACGUCACACAGCCAUAAUGCGAGAAGCUUGAAGAAUAAUGUGGUAGUGGUUUGGAUACAUAUGACAUAUUUCACCUUCAGUUUAGAAUUGAAGUUUGUUUAUAUUGGCAGGUGGUAACUCGGAGCUCUUUGUUCCAGUUAUGGCUCCGAUAGUCUUCCAGCAGCAGCAAAUGUUACACAGUCCUAUAGAGGCAAACUUGAAGUAUGAGGUAAUAGCGUUUUGCAUACAAUAGCAAACUUGACCUUUCACUCAAAAUGGAGGUACAUUUGCAGUGAGUUUAAUGUUAUGACACAUAAAUGGAUUACCAGUGAUGUAUAGGUAAAUUUCAACUUAAUUUCAGUAUCGGCUCUGAAAUUUGGUCACUGGAUACAGCUAUAUUAUUUUUCAUGUUGAUAGCAGCAAUCAUCAGAUUGCAAUCCAGUUAAGUACCUGUGAGGCAUGAGAUGUCAAAAAUACUUGUGGGUUAUUGGUAGCCCGUGUCAAGGCAUGUGGCACCUCAAAGUUGUAAGUACAGUAGCAUUUUGUUUUCUGCUUUACUUAAAAAUUGUUAGCUGUAGCGCCCAUUCUGACAUUCAAUUAUUUUGAAUUUCAAGUUUCUUAAAAUGAUACUGACAUCAGUUUCAUGUGUGUUAACACUAAUCCGUAUAUUAUUGUUAAUAUAUGCUGCUAUUUUCCUCAGAUGUUAACUGAAAUUGUUUUAUUGUAAUGAUAACAACACUUCAGCCUAUGCAAACUUGCAGUAUAGGCUACCUGCUGAGAAAUAUUUACUGGAAGAAAUGGUUUCUUGAAUAGGACAAAAAGGAAUACCACUGAAAAUGCCAAACGUGAAUUGGUGAAACAUCUUGUGCUGAAUAAUAAAUUUCAUUUGCAAAACAUGGAAGUUUUCCUAUCUUUGUGGUGGAACACAACAAAUUCUCAUAAUUUUGCUAGUUUGUAUUCUAGAAAGGGUGCCAGAAAUGGAAGAGUAUAAUUUUUUUAAAUCGGGCAUUAAAUGUAAGGUUGGACUACAGAAAGGGUGCGACUGGCCUUCCCCACUGAGGUGCUCCAACAUGCAUUUGUACUGAUGUGCAGGUGGUUAUAACACUAGUAUCAAACUGCACAGUACCCACUUACUAAUGUGACCUACCCUUGCAUGAUCUGCUGCAGACAGCAAGAAAUCUGCUACUGCUCUUACUACCUGUCCAACUGUUGCGGAGGAUUUUUUUCCCUUGGUGCUUGCCAUGACAUGUUUUGCCCUCUGCUCUUAAAAUCUCAAUUCUUGUUACAUUUUUCAUCCAUUUUUCUAUCUCCUGAUGGACCUGUAUUGAUUAAAAAACUAACCAAUGCAGAGGUGAUUGUAGAACUUUCGUUAUGGUCGCCAUGCUAGUGGCAGUGUGGAGGGACUCCACUCUUUAAAAAAUACAAUUACCUUGUGGGACAUGGAAUUAUUUAUUAUUAGAGGCUUUCAUGGACAUUUUGUUUACUGAAAAAGUCAGUCAUUAUCUGAGGUAUUUAAAUGUUAACUUCAAAUCUAAAACUGCAUCAAAAGAUAAAUUUCAGUAAGUCUUAAACAAGUUUCAGUAUCUUGCUUCACAUGCUCGACCCUCCAACUAUAAAAAACAGUGUUUUGCAGAGAACAGCUAUUCAGAUGUUAACAUCCCAGAAUUUGUGUAGAAGGCAUCCCUUACAUUGUUAGUUUCAUUGUGGUCACACUCUAUAGUGUAGUGUUAUCAGCAUACAUAUAGAAGUUUGAAGAACAUAUUAAAUUAAUUGCUAGAGACAUGCCUUAAGUGAAUAUGUUUACUACUAAUGUGAGUCAGCUAAGUAGUUGCUGCAAGUUUUUUUGUUGUUUCUAAAGUGUCUUUAGACAAGGAUAUUUCUGCUGUUUGUUUCCUGUUCUUCUGUUUCGGAUAACUACUCAUAUAUGCAGCAACUGCUGAAGCAGCCUCUGGUGGUUUAUUGAAGUUCCGUGAACAAAGUGUUGUGUGGUCUGUUUGUGUAAAGUGAUAAAGAAAAAUGUUAAAGUGUAAUUGCAUAUGUAAUUGUGCAUAUAUUUAAUCAUUAUUUUUGCUAGUUGUAAGAUCUAUUUUCAUGUAAAUCAGAACAUUGUAUAAUAGGUAACAACCGAAUGAGGCAGUGUAGCUAUUAACAGCACUGACCUCAUAUUCGGGAGGAUGGGGUUCGCUCUGUCUGGCCAUCCUGAUUCGGGUUUUCCGUGGUUUUCCUGGAUCACUAAGGCAAAUGCCGGGAUGGUUCCUUCAUCGAGGCCACGGCUGACCACCUGUCCUGCCCUUAAAGAGAUCCUUUAAACAUUCUGUGUAUACCCAUAUUUUGAAUUAUUGAUGUUUGUUGUAUUGCUGUGACAACUGUUGCAUUAUGUUGAGAUAUUCUUGGAUGAAAUAAAAAAGUUUAUAUAUUUGUAUUUGUGGUCACACGUUAAAGUACUGAGAAAAUUGCAGAAUGGUUAUGGCACCGAAUUUCCAUUCGGGUGCAUUGGGAUCCUUCGCCUGUUUGAACAUCCUCAUUUACAUUUUAUGUGGCUUCCCUAAAUUCCUUUAAGGCAAAUACUUUUGUUGGUUCCACUGAAUAGGCCAUGGCAGAGUACCUGCCAUUUCCAGUCUGAGUUUCUGCUCAGUCUCUGACAUGUUAAUUAUUUAUUCAUUCUUUUUAUAAUGCUGUAAUAUGUUUUAAGUGUUCCAUAUCAUUGUGGAAAAGUCAGAAUAAAAUUGAUCACCUCACAUGUACAUACA
rnacentral:lncRNA from 1 species